AAAACAGCACCCACUUAUUUUAUGCACUAAAUGGUCUGUUGGCCUAAGAAGCCUACCUAAUUUGUCACCGAUUCUGUUCCAAGGAUGAACAUCCUGUUUUGGUGUGUGAUGCUAAAUCAUAAAUGAUUUAAAUUGGCCAUUGUUGGUGUUAAGAUGUUUCUCAUACGCACUCCUUUGUCUGUUUAUUGUCUAUAGAAUAUUUACUAUUUUAGUCUGUAAGGUAAACAGGGAGUCCUUAUCUAGGCUCUCACAGCUCAGGCUAGUAUAGCCUCUUGUCUAAACAGGAAACAAGUUUAGGACAGCCUUUGCUCUGUGUGUAUAUACACUUUCUGCUACCUGCAGUAAACAGAAGAGGAAGAACAUGCCUUCUGUGUGCUGUGUAUUUCUUCUUCCCUGAUAUCAGAAAGGCACCACGGGCAUAGCAGAUCAAAUGGAAAACCUUUUCAAGAAUUAAGUUGCGUUUGGGCAUGAUAAAAACCUAACACACGGCCACAGUGCAUCUUCUUCGUGUUUACAGUGGUUCUCAUAAACGCGUUACUGUCAAAAGUAACUGCAUUACAGUAACGCGUUAUUGCCCAACACUGAUACUGUGUGUAUGUAUGUAUAUAAAGUGUCAUUUUACAUACAUACUCAUUGUAAGAAUGUAAACACAGCCUAAUUAAAAAGUCUAAGCUCUUCUCACUGAGAGCAGGUUCAGGAUAAUUAUCGUUUCUUGAAUCCUGUGUGCUUUAUAAAACAGCAUAGUGUUGCAUGAUUUGUGUAUUAAAUAGUAAUGAAUAAUGAAUGUGUUUUUAAUAAAAUGCUUGUAAUAAUAUAUGGUUAAUAAAAUACACUGUGAGGCAAAAA